AGGGAAAUAGCUUAGUGGAUGGGUGCGUGCUUAGCAUGCAUGAGGUCCUGGGUUCAAUCCCUAGUGCCUCCA
rnacentral:tRNA from 1 species